GCCACCAAAUAUUUAGUAUUAGGCAUGUAGGCAGACUUGGCCACUUUACAGACAUUUAUGAAACCCAAAUUUUCAAAAUAAAAAGACUCCUAAAUAUUUACGUUUGAAAAUUUCUGGGAACAACUUUAUAGGAAUUUCGGAACUCUUGCCAAGGAAUUCUAGGAUUUCCCCAGGCUUGGUUACCAACGCCACAACAACAGCAAGAAGCAUGGACGAAGUAAAGAAGCUUUUGAAAGGUCAUCCAAAUCUUAGUAUUGAAGAGAACGAAG